GCCAACAUAGUUUUGACCAAAACAAUAAGUUGUGGACCUAGUAACAAGGAAGUA
rnacentral:tRNA from 1 species